UUCCGUAUGAUUCUAUUUUAGCAGAGUUUAAAAGUUUGUCCCCAAACUUCCAUUUUUUUUUAUUAGUACUUAAUUAAUAAUAACAAUAGGACCACUUAAUCAGUUUGAUACUUUGACGAAACAUACAGAUUAAAAUCUUAAUCAUAUUAAUGACUGUGACCUGGAAAAUCCAUAUACGCACAUGUUAAAUACAGACUUAUAGUAGAUAAAACAUUUGGAUUUAAUAAUAUGUGCAAACAGAAAGUUUUAAAAAAAACAAUGAAAUAGAAUUGUAUAAUCUCUCAACAUAUAGUACUUGUCAUUUAAAUCAACCGAUUGCAAAAUAGUAAAAAUGACACAGAAAGUUCUCUACCGAAUGUUUAAAACAUAAUCCCUUAAAUAAAUCGUGACAUUUAAAGAAAAGUCUGAAGACAGAGCUAACAUGAAAAAUGCUACCUGGUUUUCAAUUUAGGAGAUUUUGAUACACCUGGAUUCUACCUGGAACCUCAACGACCCAUAGACAGGCAUGGAUCCGAAACAACUGCGAGCACUAAACCAAUGUCAUCGAGAUAUACUGAGAGAUCUAGACAUAGACAAACAAUUCCUUCUUAGUUUGUACAUAGACAACCUCAUAACUGAAGCUCAAAGUAAAGAUAUAGAGCAUGAAACAUCCAGAAGAGCUAAAGCUUCCAAACUUAUGGAGGUAUUACCACGGAGAGGGCCAUCCAUAUUUCCUCAGUUCGUAAACAAAUUACGGCGAGAUUAUUCUUGGAUUGCAGGCAAACUAGAUACAGAAUUUGAAAAGGCACAAAAAGAAAUGCCCAAGGACAUCAAUUCAAAAUUAAUAGAUGUUAUAAACAAUCAGUUAUGUCCAAUGGUUUACGGGGUUGAUGAUCAAAACAGUUUGUUGCCAUCGGAAACACAUCCUGGACAUUUAGUUAAUCAACUAUCAGACACUGUACAUACACUUCAAUACAGGAGUUACCGAGCUCUUGGGAUAUCGACACGUGACCCAGCAACUACAUAUAUGUCACUUCCAAGACUUAUAGAUCGUAAAGUUCAUAGUUUACAAAACAGUUUUAACGAAAUUAAAUCGUCACUUUCUGAGGAGAAGAAAAAGAACAAAACAAAUAUACCUGUAGACAAAAAAUCUACCAAAGAGGCCACUAAAAUGAAAAAAGAACUUGAAAAACAAAAGGAGGCUAACAAAAAACUUGAAUCUUCGUUGAAAGGAAAAAAUAAAAAGAUACAGUCUCUAUCUUGUGAGAACUUAACUUUACAAACACAAAAUCGACAGCUAAGGGACCGUGUUGAAGAACUGGAAAAAGAGGCACUAGUGUAUCACCGAGGGGCAAUGAUCACUGAAUGGAGGAUGUAGAGGGUACCAGAUUUAGUAUUAUAAAAUAAACAAGCUAUUUGGAAGGAAUUUGAAUGAAGUUUGUCUGAUUUAGACUCAAGAAAGUCAGCAUUCUAUUUUUCAUUUGAGUUGGGAGUUUAUCCAGAACUAUUAUACAUUGUUUGAUCUCAUGUUUUGUUUAAAUACUGCCUCAAUGUCCAAAUAUGAAAAUCAAAAUUCAUAACAAUACAUUAUAUAUUGUAAUCAGUGCUUAUUCUCUAUGAGAAUGUUAAUUCAAUACAAAGAAAAACAUUUCAUUUAUAGCUAAACUUACCAAUUUACAUGUAUAAUUUUUGCUAAAGAUAUUAUGAAGUCAAUACAUACAUACCUUCACACAUUUUAAUAUAUAAUCAUUACUGAAUAUUUUUUUUCAUAUUUUCAACAUAAAUCAUUGCGACAUGUGCCUUUUUUAUUCAAGCUUGGUGCAAACUUUUACAACUAUCAAAUCAAUCUUGUUUUCUAAGACUUAGAGAUAAAGAUAUUUAUUUAUGUUGUGUGCUUCUUUAUUUAUAACAGAGCUUUCUGAUUAUGUACACUACUGCAGCUGUGCCAAAUAAAUUAUAAAAUGUUUGUUUAUACAGAA